UACCAGGCUAGGCCGGGGGAACUAGGCGUACCCCUAUUACUGAAACCGUCUAGAUGCAGGGCGACAGCAGGGGAAGGGAGAACGCAUCAUUGCAGUCCUGAAACUAAGCUGCUGAAGUUCUGUCCUCCGGGAUCGAAGGUGGUAUACCUCCAUCCAAAGGGAUGGAAGGGUACCUUUGCCAUAGAAAACCCGCCAGGCCCGGAAGGGAGCAGCGGUACUAUGGACUUACGAUGCUCGGAGGGGUGCGGGAUGGAGGCUUGUUCAGGGACAGCUGCAGUGAUGCAGGAACUCAACCCCUGCGGCCUGGUA
rnacentral:SRP_RNA from 1 species